rnacentral:lncRNA from 1 species
AUGUGAUCACAUACAAUAAAGACUUGUGCUCGCAACCUCCUGUGUCCAGGUGCUCGGUUGAACAAAGAACUAUUGCUCGACAAGGCAGUGAUCAGAGACAUCUGAAGACCUGGGAUAAGGUGCAGUCCCAGCAGUUGAGGAGUGGAUGCCAACCAGAAACAUUCGUGAUCUGGGGAAUCAAGAAGAGAAGGACCAGACGACAUCGUCCCCAACGAUGGCCCCAAAGGAUCGGCCAGAUGUCAGUAGCCUUUCAGACACUGAUAACAGUCAUGUCUCUCCUGACCAUGACACCAAAAAUGGCUAACACAGAACCAGUGUUACAACUGAAUUGAACUGCCCUGGCUGAUGCACAAUGCCUAGAGGCUGACAAAACUGGAUAAUAGAUUUGGGCACUUCUCCCAUGGCCUCCCACUAUUCAUAUGGUGGACUGGGGAAAAGCUUUGCCCCACUUUCCACUUGUUGGCAACAUCUCCAAACUACUGGGUGAAAAACCAACAGACCCACCUGCAAAAUUAGUGAGUCAGUGCUGAAGAAUAUGUCCUUUCUUGUAUACAUCCCUUCCUUUGUGCCUUACUUUGCUGGAUGUAAAUAGGUUUAUACAAUUGAAACCACAGAACUUUUACCUUUUUUUGGUUUUGGUCCCUGUUGAGCCCAGCUCUUACUAUUUUAAUUUUGUUUGCCUUUGUCCUAUUUUUAUACACCUUGUAAUCUCACUAAUUAAGUGAGCUGUUAUUGAUGUUAAAGCCAGUUUGAGGCUAUGAGCAGACCCCUGCUAAACAAGAAAAGGUAGUUGUAAGGAUCUGAAGAGGAACCUAGCAUGGUGCAAUAAGGAAGUAAAAGGCCUUAGUGCCUGAGGCAUCUGGAUGUGAUCUCUGUAGCUAGCAGGAACUCCCACAAGUGCAGAAACUCUGACUUCAUGGAGGACGCAUCAUUAACAGGACAUGAAACCUUCUCUUAUUGGCUUUGCGUGUGAUCUCAUAGACCCAACAUAAAUAGUGGGGACCAGGAAGUAGCGUAGUGCAGGAUGUGAUCACGUACAAUAAAGACUUGUGCUAGAAAGCUCCUGUAUCCAGGUGCUUUGUUGAACAAGAACUACUACUCAACAAGGCAGUGGCCAGACAUGUCUGAGACCUGGGAUAAGGUAAGACUUGCAAGCAGUGACCUGGGUGUUUACACAGGCCCACUCCAUGGAGAUCUUGGGCAACCCUACCUUACUGUAUCCAAUAAGAAAGCCAAAUUAUGUCAAACCCCUAGGCUUAAAUUUCCAC